rnacentral:rRNA from 1 species
GACGAACGCUGGCGGCGUGCCUAAUACAUGCAAGUUGAGCGCUGAAGGUUGGUACUUGUACCGACUGGAUGAGCAGCGAACGGGUGAGUAACGCGUGGGGAAUCUGCCUUUGAGCGGGGGACAACAUUUGGAAACGAAUGCUAAUACCGCAUAAAAACUUUAAACACAAGUUUUAAGUUUGAAAGAUGCAAUUGCAUCACUCAAAGAUGAUCCCGCGUUGUAUUAGCUAGUUGGUGAGGUAAAGGCUCACCAAGGCGAUGAUACAUAGCCGACCUGAGAGGGUGAUCGGCCACAUUGGGACUGAGACACGGCCCAAACGCCUACGGGAGGCAGCAGGAGGGAAUCUUCGGCAAGGGACGAAAGUCUGACCGAGCAACGCCGCGGGAGGGAAGAAGGUUUUCGGAUCGGAAAACUCUGUUGGUAGAGAAGAACGUUGGUGAGAGUGGAAAGCUCAUCAAGUGACGGUAACUACCCAGAAAGGGACGGCUAACUACGUG